rnacentral:siRNA from 1 species
UCAACCUGCCUUCUUGUUCCU